AUGCUCUGUCACCCUCACAGUGAAGAAGUUUUUUCUCAGGUUCAGAUGGAACUUCCUGUGGUUCUAAAUCAUCUGGAUUUAGAGCUGCCAAAAUGGUUUAGUAAAUAGUAUUUUAGAUAGCUAACAAUUUUUUCCUCUUAAUUUUUUUAAUAUAAGAAAUAUUUAGAUUUUGUUUAGAAAAACAGGACUAUUUUCUCAUAGUAUUACUUUACUAUACUUGUGUAAAUGUGUUAAUUUUAAAGUGUUGCACAGUGCUGUCAUUGAACAUAAAUCAAUUUUAGCUACUCGUUGACAAAUAAAAUAUUUAUACUAAGUAGUUUUUACUGAUUUCAGCUCUAGCUCUUGUGAAGAGUGGUCAAACAUUACUCUUUAAUAGGCAUUUUAACUGACUGAAGGUAGAAAAUAAUGUUUCAGAAAUGGAUUUAAAAAUGCAAUCAAGGUUCUUUGACAUCUGUUGCGUGUGACAUGAUGCAGCGUGGCAUGAUGCAGCAUGACAUGUUUAUCCUCUUUGGACAGCAGCAGAUGUUGGUUUUAGAAUUUUUGAUUCCUGGAAGAGCAAACUGCUACCAAGAGAAGUUUGUGAAUAUAUCACUUGCAGAACUUCAGCUACUCUGAGAUUUCAUGUAUAAGGUACCUCUUUUAAGAUAUAGAUCUCUGUCUUCAGUGUAGAGAAGCUAAAAUGCUUGUAGUAUGCUGUGAUUUUUAAAAGAAUGGAAGAAGAACUCAAAGUUGGUGACACUUACGAAUUGACAGGAAUUCAGAGAUUUCCUGUUUGUGACCUCUUUCAUGCAUAGGAGGAAAUAUAAUGCAGCGUGUACAUAAUGUGCCCAAUAUAGUGUGUGUGUGUAUAUAUAUAUAUAUAUGUGUGUGUGUGUGUGUGUGUGUAUAUAUUUUUGAACACUUUGUGGUACUGACAUCCUUAAUACAUGACAGGGUUUCAGGGUCUUCCCUGGGUGAGGAGGAGAAAGAAGCAUAGAGCAGGAAGUAAUUCAGAAUGGGUGCUAAUGUUAAUAAUCAAAUAUGUCCUGUGAGAUUUAAUAGUGUAGGAUUGGUCAACUCAGGUAUGCAGAGCUGGGAUGAAAAUGCUGUCAGGUUCUUAAAGAUUGUGAGCGGGCUUGCAGAAGGAAGGAGCAUUUCAAAACUUUGCUCCAGUUCAGCUGCUUUUCUCUAGUUUUCUUUAAUGGAAGGUGUUCACAACUGAAUUUACUAGAGUCUUAAACAAACAAAAACCUCUUUAAUGACUUCACAGCUCUGUUUCAUAGAAGUGGUGUAAACUGUUAAGGCAUAACUUAGUAGAAGUGUAACGAGCACCUGUGGGCAUAAAGACUUCAGCCAGAUUUAUUCUGAAAGAGCUAUUUGUAGCAGAGCUGAGUGCUUCGUGGGUCUGGGCCGAAGUGACUGCUGCUGCUUUGUUUGUUCUAAUGCAGUCAGAAUCGCAGGGAGGGGAUAAGGCUCACUAAGUUUUUUUGGCAGCAGUGCUUGCUUAAACAGUCACCAUGCUGAUCUGUGUGCUAUACUCACUAAAGUUUUUGUGUGGCAGAGUAACAAAAAGGAUAGAGACUGAUCCAGUCAAAAAAUCCCCCUUAUUUUUUUUCUUCUCUUUGUGGAUUAUUUACUGGAUUUAGUACGGCCAGAGUUGUGGCGCACUGGAACUCUUCCUUUUCUAUUGGUUUGUCUGAGUUCAUCCAUUAAUACUGUUAAAACACCAUUGUGUCUGCUUUUCAGCCCUCUUCUGAUGGUAGCUGUUUAUCUGGACAUGAUAUGAAAGCAGCACAAUGCAUGCAAGUUGGUAGAUCUGAAAAAUAUUUGUUAAGGCGACUGUAUGAUAUUGUAAUCUAUACGUUAAUAUAAACCAUAACCUCCUCUGACUUGUAAAAAUUGAGAAAUACCUUAGAAAUUUAAUUCAGGAAUGAGUCCCCACAUGGAAAACGCUGUCGGAUUUGUUACAGCUACAGAAGGUAUUCAGUCACCUGGGUGUGGUAGUGUUUGAUUUUAAAGGUGUAGUGAAUACUGUAAGAUCGCCACACCUUCUCUGUUAAAGAAAACAAAAUGCCCUUAGGAGUUUGUAGUAAAUAAAGGCUCUUACUGUGUAAACAGGAAACUUAUUUCUGAAUUGGUUUCAGAGCCUUUUUGUGGGAGGGAGCAGGGGAAGAGAAAAGAGGAAGUUCAAGGUAAUGCGAGUAACAGGUGGCUUCCUUGUAAGGUUUCCUUCCUGAUCCUUUCAGUGAGCCAAAGCAGUGGCGACAUGAGGUGGUAGUGGAGAAGAUCUUGGGCAUGCUGAAUGUGUAAUGCAUGUUUGCUGCUGUUACUGCAAAAACAAGUUAUAUUCAAAUUGGAGAACACUGAGGAGGAAGAGAAGGAGUAGCAGUGUGGAAAUGUAGUAUGGGAAUAAUUUUCUGAACUAAAGCUUGGUCCUUUACAGGUGAUACAAUUUUAAAAUAGCAGAAGCACUUGCAAUACAAUAUUUGAUGUUGUUUCUACUAACUGAUGUUAUAUAUAUAUAUGUGAUAUAUAAAUAAUAAAUUUGGUACCACUGUAAUUAUUUCUGUGUGUUUGCAUUGCAAUACCUGAAUAUACCCUAUUGGGGUUUAUGUGACCAGCAUGCUAUUGCCUCUUACAUUACGUUGUUGCUAACGUAACGACGGAUUGCGUUUUACGUUAGACAAAGUUGUUUUACUUGUGUCCUGAAGUUUUGUUACUGUUUUUAUGGCAAUGUUCAUCUCUUGACAUCUGUUUUUAUGAUUUGAGUAAACAAAAGUGAACUGUUUUGUUUUUUUACUUCUCAUGUAAGUAUUUCUGAGAAUGCACUAUAGAUGGUUUUUAUGCUAUGAUCUAGAUUAACGUCUAAUAACAAAAGUUGUAAGCAUCCCUCAUUUACACUUUUUUAGCCUUCUUUAGCUGCAUUUAGCUUGGUUUCUUUGAUAUCUUAAAUAUUCUUACACUUUUUUUUUUUUUAAGAGGAACUGAGAUUGACAAGACUGAAUUGUCAGCUAUGCUCUGUUAAGAGAACUUAACUCUAUUAGAAGGUUUUAUGUUUCUACUGCAGCCUGUACCUGCUAUAUUGGCUGAUAUUGUUGCCUUUAAUCAACUGUGCACUAAUAUUUAAAAUCAGAAAAUGAGUUACAACAUAUCCUUUUAAAUCAUGUAUUUUCUGCUCGCAAGGUUAAUAUAUUAUAUUUUGCAGUGAUGUAGUCUUUGAAGGGGGGAAAUUGUUACUUUAAGGAAAAAAUGGAAAAUUAAGAUAUUCUGUAUCUUGAAAAAUAGAACUUGAAAGGUAGCAAGAAUGAAGAGUUUGAUAUUCAGUUAAAAGUGUUUGAUGAAAACAAAGAAGAAGACCUAAUUGAGCUGUCACAUCGUCUCAGUGAUAUUGGAGCUGAAAUGGAUGAUAUUAAUGAAGUAUAUAAUCUGUUGUAUGAUAUGUUGAAAGAUGCAUCUUCUGAAAACUACUUCCUGCCAAUUCCUCCACGCUUCCUUCUCAUCAGGAAUGGUUAUUAUAUCCAGUAAGAAUCAGCUAUCAUGGUUGAUUUUUUUGGAGUGGGGAGAAGGGGAAGCAUAGUAUCUUUAACAAUAUGGAAGUACUACAUACAAAGGCUUGUUUUGAAAAAUAAUACUUUGUUAUAAAGGGAUGAUAACAAUGACUGAUGUAUGAGAUGAAUAAAUUAAGAGUUUAAUAAAACUUGAGAAUCUUCAAUGUUUUUGUAACAUUUUUUUUUUUUUUUUUAAUUUGAAAGUUUAGAAUAUCACUGGUUUGGCUUUCAGGGUUUUCUCCUCUGAGAGCUCUCUGCUAUGUGAAAUUGAGAUGUAGUACCUUGCAGUGAUAAGAGCUGAUAAUUGGGAGCACAGAAUCUUGUGAUCUUAGAGGUUCCUGAUGCUGUAGUACAGAGAUGUAUAUCAAGCAGUUAAAUUAAGCUAUUGAUGUACUCAUUCAGUGAGUAAUUAAAUACUAUAUUUCAUGGAGUUCUCAAUUUUUUCAAAUGUCCCUUUGAGAAACUGAUAAUGAUAUUUUAUUAGCCGAUGUACAAAUAAGGCUUUUAAUUGGAAUCUUUUACUGGCAAUUGUGUAAUUCAAAUAUCAGGAGGUAUAGCUGUCCUUUUUUCCCCCUCCUGCUUGCAUACAUUAUUAUUCAUGUUCUCAUUAUCUUGUAAAAUGUCAGACCUCGGUAUUACAAGAUAUCAGAAGAAUGCAUUUCACAGAGUAUCGC